rnacentral:rRNA from 1 species
GACGGAGGAUGCAAGUGUUAUCCGGAAUCACUGGGCGUAAAGCGUCUGUAGGUGGUUCAAUAAGUCAACUGUUAAAUCUUGAGGCUCACUUCAAAUCGCAGUCGAAACUAUUGGACUCGAGUAUAGUAGGGGUAAAGGGAAUUUCCAGUGGAGCGGUGAAUGCGUAGAGAUUGGAAAGAACACCAAUGGCGAAGCACUUACUGGCUAUUACUGACACUGAGAGACGAAAGCUAGG